CCCGCGUCCUGACCCCAAAUCCCACGUCCUGAACCCCAAAUCCCAUGUCCUGGCCUGGAAUCCCCCGUCCUGACCCCGACACACUGUAUCACCAGGGGAUACAAUGUAUCAGGGCGGCUCAGGGAUACAAUGUAUCAAGGGGGCGGGAACCGGGCGUCUAUAGGGGACCCGGAGCAGCUCCAUAGGGGACACAGGGAGCCUCAGGGUGGGACAGGGCAUCUGUAGGGGACCCGGAGCAUCUCUGGGUGGGACACGCAGUAUCUCCAGUGGUCAGAGAGCAUCUUUGAGGGACACGUUGGACCUCCAGAGGGGACACGGAGCAUCUCCAGGGGACCCGGAGCACCUCCGAGGGACACGUCGGACCUCCAGAGGGGACACGGAGCAUCUCCAGGGGACCCGGAGCACCUCCGGGGGACACGUCGGACCUCCAGAAGGGACGCAGAGCAUCUCCAGGGGACCCGGAGCACCUCCGAGGGACACGUCGGACCUCCAGAGGGGACCUGGAGCACCUCCGGGGGACGCGUCGGACCUCCAGAGGGGACGCGGAGCAUCUCCGGGGGACCCGGAGCACCUCCGGGGGACGCGUCGGACCUCCAGAGGGGACACGGAGCAUCUCCAGGGGACCCGGAGCACCUCCGGGGGACACGUCGGACCUCCAGAGGGGACACGGAGCAUCUCCAGGGGACCCGGAGCACCUCUGGGGGACAUGUCGGACCUCCAGAAGGGACGCAGAGCAUCUCCAGGGGACCCGGAGCACCUCCGAGGGACACGUCGGACCUCCAGAGGGGACACGGAGCAUCUCCAGGGGACCUGGAGCACCUCCGGGGGACGCGUCGGACCCCGGACGCCUGGGUCCCCUCCCGUCUCCCCCCUCGUCUCCAGGACGUGACGUCAUCCCCGCCGCCGGUGACAUCAUGACGCCGUGGGGCCGGCCGCGCUCGGGGGGGUUUAUUAAAAGCAGGGAGAGCCCGGGGGGGGCGAGGGGGAAGGAGGGGGGUCAGGAGGGGAAAUUUGGCAAAAUCCGGCCCCCCCCCCCAAAUAAAUACGCACCGUUGCCCCUCCCCCAAGGGGGCGUGGUCUGCUCUAACAGCCGAUUGGCACCCCCAAAACCUG
rnacentral:lncRNA from 1 species